AAGUGUUUUGUUCAUUCAACCCACGGUGGCUGGUCCCUAGCACUCUGGAGUAGAUAGAUGGGGCAGGAGAGGUGGGUUUGAACAGCAUGGCCAAGAGCUUGGCAUCUUGUAAGCGUGGAAAGCGCCUCAGUGUGGGACAGCAAGGAAUGAGCCGUCAACCUUUCCUUCUGCCUGUCUCCGAGAAAUGCUCGCCUUGGUUCUGUGUGAGCAGAGUGGUUUUGACAAGAAGCCUGACAAGAUGGAGGCAAUAAGACCAAAGGGCAGAACUUCCUGUUGGUGUCACAAGGCCUCUGUCACCUUGACUUUGUUCCUGGCUUGGUGCAGACUUGGAAAAACAAUAGUGACUUGUGAACAGCCACCAGCCGGUUGGAAACCGCUGAGUGACUUGGGACAGAGGACUCUCAACUGCUCUGAAACCUCAUUUUCUAACCAAAUUCAUAAAAGUUAAAAGACAAACAAACAAAGUCUAGUCGGAUAAGGAAGCAAAGUUACCUUGAAGAGAGAAAGCGUAUCACCAAGACCCAAACAUCGAAAUGUGUUUGAAAAAUUGUAUGUAUAUUCUUUUCUCAGCCUGCUGACUGUUGCUUUGAUCCAUGAUUACUGGAUUCUUCCAAGCUGACUCCUCUUUGGCUCCGGGGCUGUCUAGGUUAGCUGAGACACCAGGCUAUGCAGGUACAUGGCAUGCCCCGCCUUGUGUAUGAUCUCUGCAUGAAAAAUCACUUUUAUUUCUCCUCUCCUGGUGUGUAAGUUGCCGUGGAACAGUGCAAGCAGGUCCCAAAUCCACGAAAGGGGCAAUGCGUUCAGAUUCUAGUCUCAGGACACAGUUUGCUUCUCUCAAUGGAAGGACUGAUGCGCAAUAAGAAACAGCCCCGUUGAACCAGCUCCUGUAUGCCUUUUGCUAGCUCGGCAGCAAUUAUUUUGUGGCUACUAUAGAGUUCUCCUCUUCUUUGUUUCUGCCCCAAGCAAAUACAAAGUAUUAUAUACAUCACCAACAACAGGUAUUUGCCUUCUGCAUGCCACCCGACGGCACCAGCCAUUGGCAUGAAGUUAUUUUUCACAGGUCAUUAACCUUGUGAGACCCAGUUUUCCAAUCUCAAAGCUGAGAACAACAUAAAGUACGUAUGACUGCCUGUGGCUUUUGGUGGGGUGGAGCCGGGAGCACUAUGCUGCCUGAGAGACUGCAUUGUAGUUGCCUCUGGCCGGAGGUUGCCCAUCCCGAUGCCUCCCAGCCUGGAUGGGCCACCCUUGCUCUGGUGGGUCUCCAUCAGGGAUGACAACAGCCAGAGCUGCUCCAUCAGCCUUAGGAGGAACUCCUACACCCUCCAUCAGAGCUGUAGCCCAUGACACUAGGAGCCCCAUUGGACAUUUUUUGCUCUCACCAGAAUGCCUUUCAAUGGAAAGAGAAGCUAGAUUCAAAAAUGCUCAAAGUGUAAAACCAUUACUGCUUAACAGUGAGUGCUCGUGUUGGUGGCCAACAGUUGACAGACUGGUCACGGUUCUCCCUGAGCUGGUGAGUUUUUCCCGUCAGUACUAACAGUGUGGCAUAUACCGGAGAUGACAAGAGUAUGGCUUGUCACCAAUUAGUAAGGCCUCCAAAGAGAAUAAGACUUAAAUUUGUUUUCACAAACAUCUAUUCAUUUUUUAUAAAGCCGUUCGUGCCCUAAAAAUGGAAUUUACCUAAGAGAACAUGUUCUCACCGCCUAAUGGCUUAAACAUCAUUUCGAUGCCAGAAAAGGGCUUAAAACGUCUAGUUCCCAGGGCCCGAUAGACUGAGUGUGAACCCCGUGCUCCAUCUCGAGCUGUGUGAAUCGGAUGCACUGCACGUCUCUUUGAGUCCCAGCUUCCUCAUCUGUGAACUGGGGAAACAAUAUUUACAUUGCAAAGUCACCAGGAGAACUCGAGAAGGGGCCCCGUAAAGGAUGCAGCGAGAUGACUAACCAGCGCUGAAUAAAUAAUAACUGUUUC